rnacentral:rRNA from 1 species
GGUUAAGCGACUAAGCGUACACGGUGGAUGCCCUGGCAGUCAGAGGCGAUGAAGGACGUGCUAAUCUGCGAUAAGCGUCGGUAAGGUGAUAUGAACCGUUAUAACCGGCGAUUUCCGAAUGGGGAAACCCAGUGUGAUUCGUCACACUAUCAUUAACUGAAUCCAUAGGUUAAUGAGGCGAACCGGGGGAACUGAAACAUCUAAGUACCCCGAGGAAAAGAAAUCAACCGAGAUUCCCCCAGUAGCGGCGAGCGAACGGGGAGCAGCCCAGAGCCUGAAUCAGUGUGUGUGUUAGUGGAAGCGUCUGGAAAGGCGCGCGAUACAGGGUGACAGCCCCGUACACAAAAAUGCACAUGCUGUGAGCUCGAUGAGUAGGGCGGGACACGUGGUAUCCUGUCUGAAUAUGGGGGGACCAUCCUCCAAGGCUAAAUACUCCUGACUGACCGAUAGUGAACCAGUACCGUGAGGGAAAGGCGAAAAGAACCCCGGCGAGGGGAGUGAAAAAGAACCUGAAACCGUGUACGUACAAGCAGUGGGAGCACGCUUAGGCGUGUGACUGCGUACCUUUUGUAUAAUGGGUCAGCGACUUAUAUUCUGUAGCAAGGUUAACCGAAUAGGGGAGCCGAAGGGAAACCGAGUCUUAACUGGGCGUUAAGUUGCAGGGUAUAGACCCGAAACCCGGUGAUCUAGCCAUGGGCAGGUUGAAGGUUGGGUAACACUAACUGGAGGACCGAACCGACUAAUGUUGAAAAAUUAGCGGAUGACUUGUGGCUGGGGGUGAAAGGCCAAUCAAACCGGGAGAUAGCUGGUUCUCCCCGAAAGCUAUUUAGGUAGCGCCUCGUGAAUUCAUCUCCGGGGGUAGAGCACUGUUUCGGCAAGGGGGUCAUCCCGACUUACCAACCCGAUGCAAACUGCGAAUACCGGAGAAUGUUAUCACGGGAGACACACGGCGGGUGCUAACGUCCGUCGUGAAGAGGGAAACAACCCAGACCGCCAGCUAAGGUCCCAAAGUCAUGGUUAAGUGGGAAACGAUGUGGGAAGGCCCAGACAGCCAGGAUGUUGGCUUAGAAGCAGCCAUCAUUUAAAGAAAGCGUAAUAGCUCACUGGUCGAGUCGGCCUGCGCGGAAGAUGUAACGGGGCUAAACCAUGCACCGAAGCUGCGGCAGCGACACUAUGUGUUGUUGGGUAGGGGAGCGUUCUGUAAGCCUGUGAAGGUGUACUGUGAGGUAUGCUGGAGGUAUCAGAAGUGCGAAUGCUGACAUAAGUAACGAUAAAGCGGGUGAAAAGCCCGCUCGCCGGAAGACCAAGGGUUCCUGUCCAACGUUAAUCGGGGCAGGGUGAGUCGACCCCUAAGGCGAGGCCGAAAGGCGUAGUCGAUGGGAAACAGGUUAAUAUUCCUGUACUUGGUGUUACUGCGAAGGGGGGACGGAGAAGGCUAUGUUGGCCGGGCGACGGUUGUCCCGGUUUAAGCGUGUAGGCUGGUUUUCCAGGCAAAUCCGGAAAAUCAAGGCUGAGGCGUGAUGACGAGGCACUACGGUGCUGAAGCAACAAAUGCCCUGCUUCCAGGAAAAGCCUCUAAGCAUCAGGUAACAUCAAAUCGUACCCCAAACCGACACAGGUGGUCAGGUAGAGAAUACCAAGGCGCUUGAGAGAACUCGGGUGAAGGAACUAGGCAAAAUGGUGCCGUAACUUCGGGAGAAGGCACGCUGAUAUGUAGGUGAAGCGACUUGCUCGUGGAGCUGAAAUCAGUCGAAGAUACCAGCUGGCUGCAACUGUUUAUUAAAAACACAGCACUGUGCAAACACGAAAGUGGACGUAUACGGUGUGACGCCUGCCCGGUGCCGGAAGGUUAAUUGAUGGGGUCAGCGCAAGCGAAGCUCUUGAUCGAAGCCCCGGUAAACGGCGGCCGUAACUAUAACGGUCCUAAGGUAGCGAAAUUCCUUGUCGGGUAAGUUCCGACCUGCACGAAUGGCGUAAUGAUGGCCAGGCUGUCUCCACCCGAGACUCAGUGAAAUUGAACUCGCUGUGAAGAUGCAGUGUACCCGCGGCAAGACGGAAAGACCCCGUGAACCUUUACUAUAGCUUGACACUGAACAUUGAGCCUUGAUGUGUAGGAUAGGUGGGAGGCUUUGAAGUGUGGACGCCAGUCUGCAUGGAGCCGACCUUGAAAUACCACCCUUUAAUGUUUGAUGUUCUAACGUUGACCCGUAAUCCGGGUUGCGGACAGUGUCUGGUGGGUAGUUUGACUGGGGCGGUCUCCUCCUAAAGAGUAACGGAGGAGCACGAAGGUUGGCUAAUCCUGGUCGGACAUCAGGAGGUUAGUGCAAUGGCAUAAGCCAGCUUGACUGCGAGCGUGACGGCGCGAGCAGGUGCGAAAGCAGGUCAUAGUGAUCCGGUGGUUCUGAAUGGAAGGGCCAUCGCUCAACGGAUAAAAGGUACUCCGGGGAUAACAGGCUGAUACCGCCCAAGAGUUCAUAUCGACGGCGGUGUUUGGCACCUCGAUGUCGGCUCAUCACAUCCUGGGGCUGAAGUAGGUCCCAAGGGUAUGGCUGUUCGCCAUUUAAAGUGGUACGCGAGCUGGGUUUAGAACGUCGUGAGACAGUUCGGUCCCUAUCUGCCGUGGGCGCUGGAGAACUGAGGGGGGCUGCUCCUAGUACGAGAGGACCGGAGUGGACGCAUCACUGGUGUUCGGGUUGUCAUGCCAAUGGCACUGCCCGGUAGCUAAAUGCGGAAGAGAUAAGUGCUGAAAGCAUCUAAGCACGAAACUUGCCCCGAGAUGAGUUCUCCCUGACUCCUUGAGAGUCCUGAAGGAACGUUGAAGACGACGACGUUGAUAGGCCGGGUGUGUAAGCGCAGCGAUGCGUUGAGCUAACCGGUACUAAUGAACCGUGAGGCUUAACCUUACAACGCCGAAGAUGUUUUG